GGGUAGAACGGGGAUAGGACCUGACUCCAAAGCCCCAAGUGUACCCUUUAGCUUCCUGAACCUAUGCUUUCCCAGGGCAGGGAUGCUUCCCCACUUGCAGAAUCUCAGGUAAGGAAUGAGUAAUGGUUGCUAUUGAGUCUGCUGGUCCUUUGGGCCUAAGGAGAGUUAGCACCCACGAGGAUGCAACAAGGCUGUGGCAAGCCCUGAGAAAUUUCAGCACCAGGCUCGAACCACCUAGGCACCUGCUUGAGGGUCUUUCCCCUCCCCCAGUUCCGUCUUGCUGCCUCUCUUUUCUCUGAGAAACCUCUUUAGAGAGAGGUUGGGAGGUCCCUUAAGCAAACAUUUCCCUUUGGGUACACAAGGGCAGUCCUGAAAACGCCCCUGUCUCCCAUCGCCCGGUUGGUUUGCCACUUAACCAAUCAGAGCCCCCGGUUCCACGUGGUCACGGGUGAUCACUAAAGCUUCUCCAAGUUAGGUUGACUUGGCUGCAGGUUGGUCCCCCACCUCAGGUCAUUUCCUCUUUUUGGUCAGAGUCCCUCUCAAAUGACUGACUCCUCUCCUGGCUGUUUCAAAGCAGAAGAUAUUCUCUCAUAGGUCCUGUGCUAGCAUUCAGUUGUUGCUGUCCCCAUGCUAUCGUGGAGACAUGGGGCAGCAGGGUGGGCUGUAAAGUUGGACCAACCAACAUUGAUUAAAAAAAAAA
rnacentral:lncRNA from 1 species